rnacentral:lncRNA from 1 species
AAGGGUUACUUUAUUCAUGAUACUGUGUCAGCAUAAGCUGGAUGGCUUAUAGACACAAUAGGCAUAAGCCCAAAGUCACAGUUCAGUGUCCCCUGACAACACAUGUUCCCUUCACAUAGUAGGAGGAUGAGAUGGCUUUCUGAGAGCCUUUUUUUCUUGGAAUACUAAUACCAUUUCAAGAGGAUGCCAUUUUUAUGAUCUUACCACUUCUUAGAGGCCCCACCUCCUCUGCUGUGUUGGUAAUUGGAUUUCAACGUGGGGAUCUGGAGAGACAAACCAUCAGACCCAGCAGGAGGCAUUGAGUAGUUCCCAAAGAGCUUAAUGGAAAUGCAUGGAAGGCUCAUCACGUUGCAAAGCUGGCUCUCUACAUUACAUCAAAGGAACUUCAGUGAGAAUUUCCCAUCUCAAGCAUGUUUUGGUCAAGCUGAGCUAGUCUGAGGUAUGGUACCUCAGAAUUACACAAUAGCACCCUCUCCCUCUGGAGUGGCAGGACUCACUGGGAACAAGACUGAAGAUACUAAAGCACAUGGAGAUUGUGCCUCCUGGGAAGAGCUAAAGCAGGGCAAGUAAGGAUGCCCAGGUUUCAAGACAGCCGAGAAAGCUCAUCCGGUUGCAGUGAUCAGACACCAGCAAGGGAUGGGAGACACAAAGAGAUAAACCUGCACAGGUGCCUCAAGCAACAGUUCAUCUUUGCAUCCUACCUUUCUAGGUAGUUGGCUUGAUUUAAAGUGUGUUAUUUAUUGUCCUGCUAUGAAAUGCAGUCUAAUAAAUAUUUUAUUUAUAGUAUUUUUGUGAUGUGGAAGCUAUAAUAAAGUUAUAUUUUCUGCUGAUAAAAUUGUUUCUAGCUUGUAUAAUUUUAUGUCGGAAUUAAAGGUAUGAGUAAUUCGUGGUACUAUGUAAAUGGCAUCAUGAUUUCUAAUUAUUUGAUCACCUAACAAGUUCAAAAACCACUACUGAGGAAAAUACCAUAAAAGUAAGCAAGCU